UUGUUGAGAUAAUUAAUAAAUUUUUAAUUUUUUAUUUUCUUUUUAUUUAUUUUUUUUAAAAAAAAGUUAGAUUUAAAAAAAAAAGGUUUACGCGACAACAAAAAAAGUGCGAUUUCGGUACCUAUACAUUUCUCUUAUAUACCAGUUAACUAGUAAAUUUUAGAUAUUUCGGUAGUUACGUUGCAAUAGGUUGUGUCUAGGCAAUUUUUGCGUUUUUGAAAUUUGUUUCAAAAUUUGAAAUUUGUUUUAAGAUUUGGCAAAAGGGUCCAUCUCAAAUAGUCGGAAAAAAGAGAUUAAGAGAAACUUCAAAAUCAAGAAAUUUCUAAAUCAAAAAAUAUUGUUUUCAUCAACAUGGUAAAGGGUCUUAACUUUAAAUUCAUCCAAAAUUAUUUUUAGUGAAAUACAACCUAUUGCUACGUAACUAACAUGUCAUAUGACUACCUGCUCAUUGUUUGUAAUCGACUGCGUUAUUUGCAUUAUGUUAUUAACGCACAGAUAAUUGUUACUCUUUUACAAUACAUAUUUAAUUCUAAAGUAAAGAUUGUUUAUUGCUUUCAAUUGGGAUUUACGUCAAUUUUUUUAAGUUAAGGUAAUAUUAAUAUAACAACGCCUUAAAAAGUCCAUUCAAAAUUCAAAGAAAGUCUGCUAAAAGAAAUACACUGUCAAUUUAAUUGUAUAGUGGCAAAAACAACCGUGCACUCUUGAAUAAAUAUCUUUGAUUACUUUGCAUGAAAGAUGUAAAGCAGGAAAAGAAACGAUUGACGUCGAAAAAAGAAAGUAAUGACGCACUUUUGUUUGCAACUUGUUUUCUUAAUGCAAACGAGUCAUUAA